rnacentral:lncRNA from 1 species
CUAAUACUUUUCAAGAAAAAUGCAAAUAAAAAAAUGCUUCAAGGGGAUAUAACUCUCAAAGGGGAUGAUGAAAUCCUACACAGCCUCAUCUGGUAAUACGUUAUAAUGAGAUCUAUCGAUGGUCAAUAUUUGGUCUUGAUGACUUCAAUAGAAACGGGGGGAGGGCAUGUCAAAAAAAUGUUGGAAGAAAAAAAAACAUUAGAAAAACAAUAAGGUCUUUCCUCACGUAGGGGAAAGACCUUAAUAACA